CAAUCAAAAAAUUCAAAAUCAUGUGCUUCUAACUUCAAGUGUCAAAGAGGUUAGUUAAUCAAUGUUUAUAAUUGGUGAAUAAGAUGGAAGUUUCCAUGAUUUAUUUGAAAAUUAUUUUUCAUAACGAUAUAAUAAAGUGACUUAAUGUUUUUUUUAAUUGUUUAAAAUAACGAGUAAUUACAUUUUAAAUUUAUAGACAUUGUGGAAAAAUGUAGUAUUCGCUAAAAUAUUUACUAUUUCAAUUGAAUCAAGAAAUAAAUUCGUAUUUACCAAUCAGAUUACAUCAUAUUUCGCCGUUAAAAAGCGUUUCUUGAUGCAGUUUGGCAACAUCGCAUUUCCGGUGUUUUUCUACAAGCAGUUUCCGUUUCUGUUUAAGUGCGCAUAAUUUGUAUAUUCUGUUGACUAUUCUCGACACUCUCGUGUGGCUAUUUAUGCUAAAAGUUAUUUACAUAAAAAGAAAUAGAAGAUCAUUGUACAUUUUCAUGGUGUUAAUAUACAUACUUGUUGACGCGAAGUGACGAUUGAAAUUUUUUUUUAUUGCGGAAGAAUAAAAAAAGAGGGGAGACCGGAGCUGUUUGGCGCAGGGGUUGCUUGGCGCACUUGAGUUUAUUCAAAAGUGUUAAGUUACUUUAAUUUUCCUCUUUAUUCUGCUUAAAGUACUUGAUGAACUGUCAAUCUAUGGUGUGAUCGAAACAUUUUCAUACAUAUAUUUGAACACAAAAACGCCGCUUAAGGAUUUUGAGUGAAAUAAAUUUUAUUAAGUUAAGAAUAUGCUGAAAACACUUUUUUGGAGUCUUUACCCCCUCUUUUCUCAAAAUUCUGACAUGUUAAGCAAAUUUGGAUGCCAGAAUCGUGUUCAGAGGACAAAAAUACUUUGGAAACCACUCCGAUAUCAAUAAUAAAAAAAGUUGAAUUUUUCAAUUUUAUAUGUAAUUUAUUAACAUUAAAGAGUUAAACAUUGACGGCGUGAGCUAAAAAUGAAUCACGCAUAUGAAUUUGUAGUGCUAAAAUGUACUUAAACGUGUAUACAAAGUGACAUCAAUGUGCCUGCAAAUUAAAAAAAGAAUUUUUUUGUUUUUUUUUUUUCAAAGUUAAAAGUUUCGUGUAUUUGACCAUAUUAUAUAGAUUAAAAUACUUUCUUUUUUCAUUAGCUCCACGUGUUUAGUUUUUGCUUCAAAAAAAUUUUCGAAAUUUUUCCCAUAUUGCAGAGGAUUAUUAUUUUUUUUUCCGUUUCUUUUCAUAAAAUAAAAUGAAUGAAAAUUUUUCUCAAAUAUUUAUGAGAAAACUUGUCAAAACACGUGUUUUUCGGUUAAUAAAAUAGAAAUAUUUAUUUUGGCAAUGUGUUGAUUAUUCUGAAAGAAAAAAUAAAAAAAAGUAAUAAUAUAGUAAAUGGGAAAUUCUUGAAAACGCGUGCGUCUGUUUAAUGUCGAUAUUUAUUGCCUUGUUUAGGGUUUUCAGUUUCUUAAGUGUCCCUUUUU